CAACUUACCUAUCAGAGGGGGAUAGCCCGGCGAAAGUCGGAUUAAUACCCCAUAAAACAGGGGUCCCGCAUGGGAAUAUUUGUUAAAGAUUCAUCGCUGAUAGAUAGGCAUGCGUUCCAUUAGGCAGUUGGCGGGGUAACGGCCCACCAAACCGACGAUGGAUAGGGGUUCUGAGAGGAAGGUCCCCCACAUUGGUACUGAGACACGGACCAAACUCCUACGGGAGGCAGCAGUGAGGAAUAUUGGUCAAUGGCCGAGAGGCUGAACCAGCCAAGUCGCGUGAAGGAAGAAGGAUCUAUGGUUUGUAAACUUCUUUUAUAGGGGAAUAAAGUGGAGGACGUGUCCUUUUUUGUAUGUACCCUAUGAAUAAGCAUCGGCUAACUCCGUGCCAGCAGCCGCGGUAAUACGGAGAAUGCGAGCGUUAUCCGGAUUUAUUGGGUUUAAAGGGUGCGUAGGUGGUGAUUUAAGUCAGCGGUGAAAGUUUGUGGCUCAACCAUAAAAUUGCCGUUGAAACUGGGUUACUUGAGUGUGUUUGAGGUAGGCGGAAUGCGUGGUGUAGCGGUGAAAUGCAUAGAUAUCACGAAGAACUCCGAUUG
rnacentral:rRNA from 1 species